CAAUCCAUUCUUAGGAUUACAUCAAAAUCUCCCGUGUCUAACCCUAUCAGGUCUACCCUCAGUUUUCUAUCUGCUAUCUCGACGGCACAUGCCCUGUAGAUAACCUUUCCUAGCAAUGUCUCCCCCCCAGCGGUAGAUACAAGCAACAAUGAAUCAAGUCUAUCAGGUGAUACACAAAUUUUGGAAGCAAGAACAUGUGAAACAAAAGAAUGUGAUGCACCAGUGUCAAAUAAAACAUGAGCAAUGUGGCCAGAGAUAGUAUACAU
rnacentral:lncRNA from 1 species